rnacentral:rRNA from 1 species
UGGGGAAUUUUGGACAAUGGGCACAAGCCUGAUCCAGCAAUGCCGCGUGCAGGAAGAAGGCCUUCGGGUUGUAGACUGCUUUUGUCAGGGAAGAAAUCUUCUGGGCUAAUACCCCGGGAGGAUGACGGUACCUGAAGAAUAAGCACCGGCUAACUACGUGCCAGCAGCCGCGGUAAUACGUAGGGUGCGAGCGUUAAUCGGGAUUACUGGGCGUAAAGCGUGCGCAGGCGGCUUCGCAAGACAGAUGUGAAAUCCCCGGGCUCAACCUGGGAGCUGCAUUUGUGACUGCAAGGCUAGAGUACGGCAGAGGGGGAUGGAAUUCCGCGUGUAGCAGUGAAAUGCGUAGAUAUGCGGAGGAACACCAAUGGCGAAGGCAAUCCCCUGGGCCUGUACUGACGCUCAUGCACGAAAGCGUGGGGAGCAAACAGGAUUAGAUACCCUGGUAGUCCACGCCCUAAACGAUGUCAACUGGUUGUUGGACGGCUUGCUGUUCAGUAACGAAGCUAACGCGUGAAGUUGACCGCCUGGGGAGUACAGCCGCAAGGUUGAAACUCGAAGGAAUUGACGGGGACCCGCACAAGCGGUGGAUGAUGUGGUUUAAUUCGAUGCAACGCGAAAAACCUUACCUACCCUUGACAUGUCAAGAAUUCUGCAGAGAUGUGCAAGUGCUCGAAAGAGAACUUGAACACAGGUGCUGCAUGGCCGUCGUCAGCUCGUGUCGUGAGGUGUUGGGUUAAGCCCCGCAACGAGCGCAACCCUUGCCAUUAGUUGCUACGCAAGAGCACUCUAAUGAGACUGCCGGUGACAAACCGGAGGAAGGUGGGGAUGACGUCAGGUCCUCAUGGCCCUUAUGGGUAGGGCUACACACGUCAUACAAUGGCCGGUACAGAGGGCUGCCAACCCGCGAGGGGGAGCCAAUCCCAGAAAACCGGUCGUAGUCCGGAUCGUAGUCUGCAACUCGACUGCGUGAAGUCGGAAUCGCUAGUAAUCGCGGAUCAGCUUGCCGCGGUGAAUACGUUCCCGGGUCUUGUACACACCGCCCGUCGCACCAUGGGAGCGGGUUCUGCCAGAAGUAGUUAGCCUAACCGCAAGGAGGGCGAUUACCACGGCGGGGUUCGUGACUGGGGUG